UCGAACCUCCCACCCUCCUCCAAACUCCCGCGCCAUCUCCGCAUUUAGUCGCCAGAUCGGAAGGCUUGAGGUUCGGCUCGAGACCUCGUCCAGCCCGAUACAGCUGAAUUACCUACUCCGCGGCGUCGCGUGGUACGAAUCCCUUUCACCUCCAGCUCGCUCAUCUCGCUAGGGCCAGUGCCGCCACCGAUGCCCGCUGCCAGUGCCACCUCCAGCGCCGGCUGCCACCGCCCUCAUCUCCUUCUACAUGGCUCCGCCUACCAUCUGCUCCUCCCGAUUUGAUCCCCUAGGUCCCGCGAGGCGCAGGAGAUGUAGGGUUACCGGCGCCCGCUGCCAGCGGCCCGCAGUUCGCCGGCCUUUCAUCCUGUGUGCAGCUAGCUCCAGCACCUACAGACUGCUCGUCUCCUCCAACCAGGCCACCAUGAAUUCCCACACUUCAGCGUUUUUGGAAAGGCUUGGGAAGACAGGAAGUGGCCCGAUUUUCCUCCACUGAUUGAUUUGUUUCCAUGUUCGAUUUCCAGUUGUACUGCGCAAAUACGGGGAUUGACUAUUGAGGCGUUGGAAUUAUAUCUCUCCAUGUGCGGAUAGGAUAGGAGGGCAGGGCUGUUGUGGCUGUAUUGAGGUCAACAUCACUUACAUUUGUGAUCUUUCCAUGAUAUAAAGGGGGAAAUGAGUGGUGAUUAUGCUCUGGUCGAAAAUGAAUUGCACAUAUCUCAGUUCAGUGAGUGGGCGAAUCCGUUUGAUGCUUAAGGACCUUGUGUAAUUUGCAAUUACCAACUGUCACUAUUUCAUAUAGACAUAGAACACGCCAAGAGUUUUUGAUCCAUGUUACUGUGUUAUUAGUAGAGAUAAUUGUAGUUGCAUGAUAUAGGAAAUUUCUGAAAUUUGUUCUUACCUUAGCCUCAUAAUCUAAAUGGUGUGUGGAUUACUAAAAUGAAACCUUAAAUCUUGUAUGAUUCAGUAAAAGGCAGACCAGAUAAGGCAUAGGUAACCAGUCAUUUCUUGUAUUCUUUAAUAAGGAAAGGACAUAGGAAUGUCUUAUCGCAAUAACCAUUACAAACAAAGAUGUGAGUUUUCUGUUCUAUAUUGCAAAUAUAAAAAGGCAUAGGUUCAUGAUUCACAUAUUAUACAAGUUGUUAUGCAUUCAUUUAUCGAUGUAUUAUACUUUUCCUUGGUUCCUAUACUUGAAGUGAAGGGCGGGCCUGGUGCAGCGGUAGAGCCUCACCGUCUGUGACCGAGAGGUCCCAGGUUCGAGUCACGGUCUCCUCACAUUGCACUUCGUGAGGGUAAGGCUUGCCACUAACACCUUCCCCAGACCCUGCACAGUGCGGGAGCUCUCAGCACUGGGUACGUCCUAUACUUGAAGUGAGAUUGGGAGUUCUGUUUGCGCCACAUAUAGAUUUCCAACAGAAUAUCCAUUUCAUUAUGUCAACUCUAAAGACAGGCUGCGUGUAAGACCUUUUAGUUUCACGCUCAUCAUUUCGCUGAAGAUUGUGGUUACAUGUUUCUUCAAUUUAGAAAAGUGAGGGCAGUUUAGAAAAGCAAGAGUUCAACAUUUAGAAUAUCCAUUUCGUUAUGUUGUUACUUCAUUAUGCCGCACAUUUAUAUCUCCAAAUUCAGCAUAUCUUGAUGAGUAUAUUUUUGUUUGGUCAUUUGAACUGAUAUUUCCAUGUUUAUAUAUAUAAAAGAAACAUUUUCAAAUUCAGCAUAUCUUGAUGAGUAUAUUCUUGAUGAGUAUAUCUUGAUGAGAAUUUUCAAAACAUCUUUUUAUGGUAAAAGCACAUUCUUGAGAACUACCAUUUGGUAGACGUGCAUUGCACAUGUGUGUUCAUUGCACCUGUGUGAUAUACUAAUAAUCUGUUACUGGAUUACAGGUCGAAAAACAAGGCUAUUCAGGGUUCAGACUCCAUGUGCAUGUUUGCUGCUGCUAGAUGAUUUUGCUUGUCACAAGACUGUUCAUGACCGACAAGCUAGGGCUUUGGUAAUUGACGGGAGCUAUUCUGACCUCAUUUGCUAAAAAAACGAUUUCAUUUGCUGAAGAUGGCACAGAGGAGCCACAGAGGAACCAGCCACACGACACCAACAAGCAGGUGAAGGUUACUGGGUUUUUUGGUUCUUUGAGUUAGUUCUUGUUAUCACUAGAUGUUCUAGGACACAGGUUAUUUUGCGAAGAUCAUUGCUCAAAUGCACUGACUGAGUGCCAUAUCAUGUAGGAUUUGCUUUGUUAUGUUUUUCACAGUAUAAUUAAAUAUUCUUGUUAUGGCGUCAUGACAAUGGAGUGGUGAAAUGCCCAUCCAGCUUUGCAAUUCCUUGUAUUUGCAAAUUCUCUAGAUAGAUCAAAAACAAUGGAUGGUUAACAAGUUCAUGUAAUAGCUUCGAGCUAGCUGAUGAAGACAUCGAAAUGAUUAACUACAGAACAUUAGUCAAUGGAUGGUUAACAACUUCA